rnacentral:antisense_RNA from 1 species
CUUGUGUUUCUCGGCACAGUCGCAGAGUGAGCGGCAAGACGGAUGGCACCAUGGCAACCACGGACACAACCUAGGGACUGGAGUUGCGCGUUUCUACGUAAGAGCCGGAGCUGCCGCUCAAGUCCCUGUGGUGUUGGAACUCCCACAUCGUGGCAGAGUAAGAGGCCCCGGGGAACCCCGUAGGAACCCCGGGAGAGGGCGGACACCCCUGCUGUAGAAAGCUGCUCUGCCCGAGCCUGGACCCAGCUGCUACAUUUACCCGAAUAACAGACAGGGGCACUUGAUUAGCUGUCUUGUGGGACCUGGACCCCCACAGGACUCAGACCUUUUCAGUAUCGUUCUCGUUUCCCUGUGUCCCAUCUGGUUCCAUAAUUUUCAUAAAUUUAAAAAUCAUC